AUUGAACGCUGGCGGCAGGCCUAACACAUGCCAGUCGAGCGGAUGAAGGGAGCUUGCUCCUGGAUUCAGCGGCGGACGGGUGAGUAAUGCCUAGGAAUCUGCCUGGUAGUGGGGGAUAACGUCCGGAAACGGGCGCUAAUACCGCAUACGUCCUGAGGGAGAAAGUGGGGGAUCUUCGGACCUCACGCUAUCAGAUGAGCCUAGGUCGGAUCAGCUAGUUGGUGGGGUAAAGGCCUACCAAGGCGACGAUCCGUAACUGGUCUGAGAGGAUGAUCAGUCACACUGGAACUGAGACACGGUCCAGACUCCUACGGGAGGCAGCAGUGGGGAAUAUUGGACAAUGGGCGAAAGCCUGAUCCAGCCAUGCCGCGUGUGUGAAGAAGGUCUUCGGAUUGUAAAGCACUUUAAGUUGGGAGGAAGGGCAGUAAGUUAAUACCUUGCUGUUUUGACGGUACCAACAGAAUAAGCACCGGCUAACUUCGUG
rnacentral:rRNA from 1 species